AUUAGCUAUGAUACAUCACCAAAACUACAAGCCCUUAUGUUGGGCCUGUCAGGUGUACCUUCAUCAUUAGAUUGCCAAGGACAUCUGUGCUAGAUUUUUAGCAGCUUCUGGCCUGUUAUUAUUUGGAUGCAGAAGAAGAAACAAGUCUCUCCAUCUCCAGGCUGGGCUGCCUUCUUUCAUGGAUUUAGAAGCUCAAAGCGAGAACUGUGAUCCCCAGAUGGCCAGAAACAUUGUUCAGGCUGGAGUUUCCAGAGAGGACAGAGAUGAUGACUCAACUCUCCUGAGCAGCCUGUUCCAGUGCUUGACAGCUCUUUGACUGAAGACAUUUUUCCUAAUAUCCAAUCUAAACCAGGGAUGAUGCGACUUGAAGCCAUUUCCUCUGGUCCUACUGCUUGUGACUCAGGAGGCAUUCUGCUCACUUCUAUGAAAUAGAGAGACUUGAAGCAUGUGAUUUAUGUGUUUUCAGGUGCAUGUGCACACACACAUAUGCAAAACUUAGAUAUUUCAGUCAAAUAUUUCUGAGAUUAAAAAUUUAUACGACAUCAGAUACCUAAAGUAUCAACUGAUGGAUGUAUCUAUGACUCUUAAUGAAAUCAAAUGUGAAUUAGGCCUGCUGGAAGGCUACAGCCUACCUUUGGACAAGCGUGUUAUUUAUUUUUAGUGCUGGAAUUAAUUCACAAGCUUGCUUAAUGGUGCUGUCAAAACAAAUACAUUUUGCAGAAGA